rnacentral:rRNA from 1 species
UAGUCGAUGGGAAACAGGUUAAUAUUCCUGUACUUGGUGUUACUGCGAAGGGGGACGGAGAAGGCAUGUUCGGGCGACGGUUGUCCCGGUUUAAGCGUGUAGGCUGGUUUUCCAGGCAAAUCCGGAAAAUCAAGGCUGAGGCGUGAUGACGAGGCACUACGGUGCUGAAGCAACAAAUGCCCUGCUUCAGGAAAAGCCUCUAAGCAUCAGGUAACAUCAAAUCGUACCCCAAACCGACACAGGUGGUCAGGUAGAGAAUACCAAGGCGCGAGAGAACUCGGGUGAAGAACUAGCAAAAUGGUGCCGUAACUUCGGGAGAAGGCACGCUGAUAGGUGAAGCGACUGCUCGUGGAGCUGAAAUCAGUCGAAGAUACCAGCUGGCUGCAACUGUUUAUUAAAACACAGCACUGUACANNNAAAGNGGACGUAUACGGUGUGACGCCCGGUGCCGNNAAGUUAAUUGAUGGGGUUAGCGNAAGCGAAGCUCUUGAUCGAAGCCCGGUAAACGGCGGCCGUAACAAUAACGGUCCUAGGUAGCGAAAUUCCUUGUCGGGUAAGUUCCGACCUGCACGAAUGGCGUAAUGAUGGCCAGGCUGUCUCCACCCGAGACUCAGUGAAAUUGAACUCGCUGUGAAGAUGCAGUGUACCCGCGGCAAGACGGAAAGACCCCGUGAACCUUUACUAUAGCUUGACACUGAACAUUGAGCCGUGAUGUGUAGGAUAGGUGGGAGGCUUAGAAGUGUGGACGCCAGUCUUGCAUGGAGCCGACCUUGAAAUACCACCCUUUAAUGUUUGAUGUUCUAACGUUGACCCGUAAUCCGGGUUGCGGACAGUGUCUGGUGGGUAGUUUGACUGGGGCGGUCUCUCAAAGAGUAACGGAGGAGCACGAAGGCUNGCUAAUCCUGGUUGGACAUCAGGAGGUUAGUGCAAUGGCAUAAGCCAGCUUGAGCGUGACGGCGCAGGUGCGAAAGCAGGUCAUAGUGAUCCGGUGGUUCUGAAUGGAAGGGCCAUCGCUCAACGGAUAAAAGGUACCCGGGAUAACAGGCUGAUACCGCCCAAGAGUUCAUAUCGACGGCGUGUUUGGCACCUUGAUGUCGGCUCAUCACAUCCUGGGGCUGAAGUAGGUCCCAAGGGUAUGGCUGUUCGCCAUUUAAAGUGGUACGCGAGCUGGGUUAGAACGUCGUGAGACAGUUCGGUCCCCAUCUGCCGUGGGGCGCUGGAGAACUGAGGGGCUGCUCCUAGUACNAGAGGACCGGAGUGGACGCAUCACUGGUGUUCGGGUUGUCAUGCCAAUGGCACUGCCCGGUAGUUAAAUGCGGAAGAGAUAAGCUAAGCAUCNCNCAACGAAACUUGCCCCGGAUGAGUUCUCCUGACCCUUUAUGGGUCCUGAAGGAACGUUGAAGACGACGACGUUGAAAGGCCGGUGUAAGCGCAGCGAUGUGUUGAGCUAACGGUACUAAUGAACCGUGAGUACUCCACUU